AGCUAGUUGGUAGGGUAAAGGCUUACCAAGGCGACGAUCCAUAGCUGGUUUGAGAGAAUGGCCAGCCACACUGGGACUGAGACACGGCCCAGACUCCUACGGGAGGCAGCAGUGGGGAAUAUUGGACAAUGGGGGGAACCCUGAUCCAGCAAUGCCACGUGUGUGAAGAAGGCCUUAGGGUUGUAAAGCACUUUCAGCGGGGAGGAAGGGACUGAUACUAAUACUAUUGGUCAUUGACGUUACCUGCAGAAGAAGCACCGGCUAACUCCGUGCCAGCAGCCGCGGUAAUACGGAGGGUGCGAGCGUUAAUCGGAAUUACUGGGCGUAAAGGGCGCGUAGGCGGAAGAUUAAGUUGGAUGUGAAAUCCCAGGGCUCAACCUUGGAACUGCAUCCGAAACUGGUUUUCUAGAGUAUGGUAGAGGAAAGUGGUUUCGCAGGUGUAGCA
rnacentral:rRNA from 1 species